rnacentral:rRNA from 1 species
CCAUCCCCCCAUAGAGUCCACAUCAACGGGGGGGUUUACGACCUCGAUGUUGGAUCAGGACGCCCCGGCGGUGCAGCAGCUGCCAAAGGCCCG